rnacentral:rRNA from 2 species
CGGUAUGGGAUGGGGUCGCGUCCUAUCAGCUUGAUGGCGGGGUAACGGCCCACCAUGGCUUCGACGGGUAGCCGGCCUGAGAGGGCGACCGGCCACAUUGGGACUGAGAUACGGCCCAGACUCCUACGGGAGGCAGCAGUGGGGAAUAUUGCACAAUGGGCGCAAGCCUGAUGCAGCGACGCCGCGUGCGGG